GGAUAGCAGGAAUCCCAUCCUAGAUGUAGGCUAAGGAGUUUCUGCUGAACUACAAAGGGUUAUUAUCGCUUCCCUUUGUGUGUGUGUGUAAUCCUCACAUAAAAGUCUUCUCAUAGAGGUAGAGGUCUUCACCAGAUGGAGAAUUCAAUGGCACAUAUGUGAUCCUCCCUUAGAAAUUAUAAGACAAGUCUCUGUAAAUAUAAUGGGACAUUUUUGUUUACUAGGAACAGUGAGAUGUCAUCUUUAAUUUUCUCUAUAUGGAACGGUUACGCCAACAGAAGCACACAGAAGCAAAUGUUUACCACAAGAGCUUGCAUGCAUAACCCUUACCAACUGCACAGUGGGUGUGAAUUACAGUGGAUGUCACCUUUAGUUAGUUUUUACACGUUUCUUUAAUCAAAAUACAGAUCAAUAAACUUUAAUGGUCAUUUGCAAUAGAA